rnacentral:rRNA from 1 species
UCUACGGGUGGCAGCAGUGAGGAAUAUUGGUCAAUGGGCGGGAGCCUGAACCAGCCAAGCCGCGUGAGGGAAGAAGGUACAGCGUAUCGUAAACCUCUUUUGUCAGGGAACAAAGGCGGGGACUAGUCCCCGUAUGCGGGUACCUGAAGAAAAAGCAUCGGCUAACUCCGUGCCAGCAGCCGCGGUAAUACGGAGGAUGCGAGCGUUAUCCGGAUUUAUUGGGUUUAAAGGGUUGGCAGGCGGCCUGUUAAGUCAGCGGUAAAAGGCCGGGGCUCAACCCCGCCGAGCCGUUGAAACUGGCGGGCUGGAAUGCGGAUGCCGUGGGAGGAAUGUGUGGUGUAGCGGUGAAAUGCAUAGAUAUCACACAGAACACCGAUUGCGAAGGCAUCUCACGAAUCCGCGAUUGACGCUGAUGCACGAAAGCGUGGGUAUCAAACAGGAUUAGAUACCCGGGUAGUC